rnacentral:lncRNA from 1 species
CAAAAAUAAUUACUUGAGAAAAUAACUAAAAAUAAAUGUUCUUAUAAAUACAAAUAAACAUUAUACUAAAUAAAUGUAAUAAUUCAGAAAUAUUAAAUUUGUUCGUAUCAAUGAUUACUUUAUCAAAUAAGUCGAACAAUAAUCAAUAAAAUAAAAAAUAUUAUAAAAAGAAACAGUAAAAAAUGAAAAGAAAGAAAAAGAAAUAUAAAAAAACCCAAAUUUUUAAUUUUUAAUAAACAGUAGAAACACAAAGAAAG